GAAAAGUGAGCUUCGAAAGAGAAAUGCGUCAGUGGUGAGCAAAAAGCCGAUCUGAGCGAAAGAUUGGAGGCGUAUGAUCGGAACCAAAACUUUGACGGUGGUUUGGGCGAUCAAAAGGACGAUUCUCUUAUCUUUCCACACCCUAAUACAUUCAGAGACAUGAACGCCGAUUAACCUGUUCCAAGCAUCAGCAAGCAGGAAAUAUCUGUAAAGAUUGAACACUGAACCAAAAGCCAACUUUUAUACAAAUCUAGCUCUGACCGCCCCUUACUCAUGGUAUGCUAUACGUUCUUAAGAGGAAUGUACAAAGCUUGCAAAAGUGAUGUAUUUAGUAGACAUUAAAGUCU